rnacentral:sRNA from 1 species
UUUUUUGAUCCCCUUCACUAACACUCGGGGCCCUCUUACCAGUUUUCACUGAAGAUCUUGACAUUCCUAUCUGCUUAGGUGUCUGGGUGUGUUUGGGGGAGAUACUGAAGAGGUAGGGCUCCCAGGCAGGUGCAGUUCGUCUGUUAGGCGGGCAGCAAGGUCCAGUUCACCAGACACCCCCACCUCUGUUUUCCUGCAGGGACUCCAGAACGGGUGGAACUGGCACCCCUCCCCUCUUGGCAGCCAGUGGGCAAGAACCUUACCCUACGCUGCCAGGUGGAGGGUGGGGCACCCCGGGCCAACCUCACCGUGGUAUUGCUCCGUGGGGAGGAGGAGCUGAGCCGGCAGCCAGCGGUGGGGGAGCCCGCCGAGGUCACGGCCACGGUGCUGGCGAGGAAAGAUGACCACGGAGCCAAUUUCUCGUGCCGCACUGAACUGGACCUGCGGCCCCAAGGGCUGGAGCUGUUUGAGAACACCUCGGCCCCCCACCAGCUCCAAACCUUUGUCCUGCCAGCGACUCCCCCACAACUUGUCAGCCCCCGGGUCCUAGAGGUGGACACGCAGGGGACCG